rnacentral:rRNA from 1 species
GAUGAACGCUGGCGGUAUGCUUAACACAUGCAAGUCGAACGGACUCUUCGGAGUUAGUGGCGGACGGGUGAGUAACGCGUGAGAAUCUGGCUUUGGGUUCGGGACAACCACUGGAAACGGUGGCUAAUACCGGAUGUGCCGAGAGGUAAAAGAGAAAUUGCCUGAAGAUGAGCUCGCGUCUGAUUAGCUAGUUGGUGAGGUAAAGGCUCACCAAGGCAGCGAUCAGUAGCUGGUCUGAGAGGAUGACCAGCCACACUGGGACUGAGACACGGCCCAGACUCAUACGGGAGGCAGCAGUGGGGAAUUUUCCGCAAUGGGCGCGUGCCUGACGGAGCAAUACCGCGUGAGGGAAGAAGGCUCUUGGGUUGAAAACCUCUUUUCUUAGGGAAGAACAAAAUGACGGUACCUAAAGAAUCAGCAUCGGCUAACUCCGUG